GGUGGUUGUCCAGGAAGCGGUGGCACACACUCACCCUCAGCGGUAAGGCCGCUGCCGGCUCCACUUCCCCACGAGAUCCCUGCGUCUGCGUCUGCGUCUACCACAGCGCUCUGACAUCACCGGCUGCAGGCCCCGCCUUAUGACAUCAGUCAACGCAAACCCCGCCCCUUACAAUGACAUCUCCGCCGGGAAGCCACGCCCCCUGCUUUCCGUUUCCACCCCCCCCCCGGAGCACCGCUUGGAAGUCCGCUCAGUCUCGCUGUCAAUCACAGCCACGGCCGCAGACGGUCACAUCACGGUAGUGCGCGAUGACAUCAGCGGACAAUGGCCGUGCUGGCGUCACCGUGCGUCAUGACACCUCGGUGGGGGGCCGAAUCCAAGAUGGCGGCGGCGGUGUUGGUGGCGGCACGUCCUCCUCUCAGUUGACCCAAUUGGCAUACCUGGAAAAAUGUGGAACAUGGCACUGAGAGGGGACACAUCGAGUUGCACUUCAAAGGACGUUUAAAACGUAUCUCCUUCUGUUUCCUGGAGCCUUCCCCCCCCCACACUAGUCCCCCCGC